AAGGAUUUAGCACAAGCCUUCUGCACGCUAGGCAAGUGCUGUGCCUAUGCCAAGGCGGCCUUCAAAGUCAUCAUCCUCUCCUCUGCGCCUGAGGAGCUGGAAUAACAGGACAAAAGCGGGGAGACCAGAACUUUGAAGCUGAGUAUAAAAAUCUUGAGAAAUAUCUAAGGUAAUUUGCACGCACAAGAGAAAAGAAAUCCUCAGGAAACUUGUAAUGGUGGGACCUAUUUCAAGUGAACAAAACAAAUACAUGGUGGCACAUACCUGUAAUCCCAGCAUUUCAAGACUGAAGAUGGAAGAUGGAGGGUCACGAGUUCAUGGAUAGCCUGGGCUAUGAAAACAUGGGCUCAUCCAGUGAUAAGGGGUGAGGAAAGCCUUGACAUGAAGCCCACAUCCUCAUUCCAAGUUUCUCAACUGUGACAUGAGGCUGACCCUCCUGAUCCAGUGUGGCUUGGUCUGACCUAAGCAGUCCACUUUCAUUGAGGUCUUGUGUUGUGUCCUUGGACCAGAGUCUGGAGUUCUCUACACUUUGUGACCCUAUUUCAAGGAAGAAGAAGUGGGUAGCCGCUGUGGAGAGCCAGGAGCAAGUUCAGCUUCACUUCUCUAUUGUGUUGGAUGUGGCUUGGUCAGUGUCCAG